GAAAUGCGAUAAGUAAUGUGAAUUGCAGAAUUCAGCGGGUACUCCUGCCUGUUCGAGCGUCAUUUCACCCCUCAAGCUCCGCUUGGUGUUGGGCCAGCAGUCCCGGUAGAGGGACUCGCCUCGAAGGCGUCGGCGGCGUCGCCCCGUCCCAAGCGUGGUGGAAGCACAAGCUCGCUUUGGAGGUCGGGUCGUCGCCCGCCACGGUGCAUCCGUCUUUUAUUUAAAGGUUGACCUCGGAUCAGGCAGGAGUACCCGCUGAACUUAA
rnacentral:misc_RNA from 1 species